AGGAAAAAUGAACGGGUUGAACGGGUUAUCAAGUUUAUAGAAGAAAAAGGAACGGGUUAGAAUCUAGGGUUUCUUCUCAGUUCUCACUUUCAGAGAAUCAAAGACUCUGCAAGCUUUUCUCCAGUGAUCCAUCAAACAACCGACAAUAGUUCAGCGACCGUUCUCCGACGGCGACGACAGUGGAGACGGUGACGAAUUCAACAAGAAAUCUCCGAAGCUGAGCUUGCUAAGGAAAGUACUAAUGGACGCAAGCUAGGCGAAGAACAUAUUUUAGCUGUCAUAAUGUUUUGCUGAGAAAUAUGGAGGGAUAGUUUAGCUGUCAAAAUGUUUAAGCGAGCAGGAGUACGAAAAAAGGAAGCGGUCGAAGGAAGAAUGGGAAAGGUGGGUAAACAAGGGGAAGAGAGAUCACGAAGAACAAAUGCUGAGAGAUAGAGAAGCAAGUGAUGUUGAAGAAGCCGAACAAGUGGAAGUGGAAGAAUUGUUGGACGUUAUUGAAGAAAUCCUUCCUGAUGUCAGCAUCUUUUUGAUUCGAUCCGUUGUGUCAUAGAGUUGGCUAGUCAAAAACAAUGAUACAAUAACUUUUUGUUAUGAUGCACAUGUUUGUUAAACUGAUACACCAUUUUUUUGUAAUUAUAAAUAUAUGCUUUCUGUUUGAUA